rnacentral:lncRNA from 1 species
AGGGACAGUGAUUUCACCACCGCCCUGGGCAGCCUGUUCCAGUGCAUCACCACUCCUUUGGAGAAGCAAUUUUUUUUCCGGAAUCCAACCUGAACUUCCUCUGGCUCAACUUAAAACCGUUACCUUUUGCCUUCUUGCUUGUUACCUGGGAGAAGAGUCCAAUCCCCACCUCACUAUAGCCUCCAAUCAGGUACAGAGUGAUGAGGUCUCCCCUCAGACUCCUCCUCUUCACAAUGAAUGAUCCCAGAUCCCUCAGCUGCUCCCUGUAAGUCUUGUGCUUCAGACCCUUCACCAGCUUCAUUGUCUUUGUUUAAACAUGCUCCAGGGCCUCCGGAGACAAAGGGAGAACACAUACGGGUUUUCUCUUCUCAGCCAGCUCGCUGCAGCUGAAGAAAAGCCAAGGGUCAAGGAGAAGCAGAUACAAGGUUCUCUCAACCGAGCAACCUGAUCAUGAAAUUGUGUGGGCUCUGUACAAGACACGGAACUCUGCCACCUCUUCCAGCCCUGGCUGCAUUCAGCCCAACACCAUGCUGCUCAGAUCGCAGUGCAGAAGGACCAGAAGAGGAACUAGGCUGGUAGACUCCAUCCCCUCGUCUGGGAGCUUCAGAUAUGUCCAAUUAUUUGGUCCAGGCUUAUGCACAGCACUUCAAUCCACUUGGAAAACUUCGGUACAACUGGGUUUAAGGUGCUUUCAAUAAUCUCUGAAAGAUCAUGAUGAGAGAAGAAGGUCUGGAGGAAAGCAAUCAUUCCUACUUUCAAGAAGAGAAAGGAAAGCAUCCAGGGCUGAUUGGAGUUAAUCACUGUGGUUUUAUAAAGGUAAAGUACUUGACAAACGUCAUAAUCUUCCUACUGUGAAACAAGCGUUUUAGUGG